UACAGAGGAGCCAAGCGUUGUCCGGAUUGACUGGGCGUAAAGCGCACGCAGGCGGUCGCGCGCGUGGGGUGUGAAAUCUGGCCGCUUAACGGCCAGGCGCCAUCCCAUACGGCACGACUGGAGUGAUGCAGAGGUCGAUGGAAUUGCCGGUGUAGUGGUGAAAUGCGUAGAGAUCGGCAGGAACACCCAGGGGGAAACCAGUCGACUGGGCAUCUACUGACGCUGAGGUGCGAAAGCGUGGGUAGCAAACAGG
rnacentral:rRNA from 1 species